rnacentral:tRNA from 1 species
GUGGCUGUAGCUCAGUUGGUAGAGUUACGGAUUGUGAUUCCGUCUGUCGCGGGUUCGAGUCCCGUCAGCCACCCCA